GGCUCGAUUGCAAAGGGGGCUCCCAAGGGAGAGGGGGCAUCGCAGCAGGGCAAGGCGCUGGGCUCCUCUCCCCAGAGAGGGACGCAGCGCUGUGUGGGGAGGCCGAGCUGCGGCCCUGGGGGGACAGCAGAGAGCUCCCGAGGCCGGGCUCGGAGCUGGGCUCCGAGCAGGGCUCCCUGGACAUUCCGGGCGGGAAGGAGAGAAGCUGCGCUAAGUGGCGAGCAGGUGCCUGGUUCCCAAGCAUUUAUCAGGGCCCAAGCAUUCACACAAUCACUUCCGGGGCCAAGCGUUCACACAAUCACUUCCGGGCCCAAGCGUUCAUAUAUCACCUCUCGGGCCAAGGUGGGAAUUUGGCAGAGCUGCGCCUGACUCUGCCAUGGUGAACGAGGGGGACAUUGUCUAAGCCACAGGGGAAGCAUGUGUCCUUCCUCGCUGGACAUCAUUUUCCAGAGCACAAAAGGGUGUGGGGCUCUCUUAACCUUGGGGUAAAAAUCCCACGUUGUGAAAACAUGAACACAGGUGCUAGGAAUACCUGGGCUUCUGGCCAGCCUCGGGCUUUUAAAUCCAACGUGGACUCACCCCAUCGGAGGAGGGAAGGACAGAAGCCAGGGAGCCUGGGUCCCCGUGGACGGCCGCGCAGCUGUCCCUGCUGCCAGGAUCGCUCUGCCCGGAGCCCAGGGUGGGCGCUGUCUGCUGAAGGCCGCGGUGAGAGAGUGAUCUCAGCUCAGAGGCUCAAGGGAGCAGCUGCACAGCUGCAGCUUACCGGUGGCAGCAGGGCCGGGGAACCCUGGAAAUGGGAGCCAUUUCAAGACCAGGGAACCGGGAGGAAACGGGACAAAGAUCUCGGGUUCUACUCAGUCACCUCCACCGCCUUCUCGAGCCAUGGAAAGAAAAGGUCCAGGAAUCAGCAGAGGGAAGCUAGGGAGAGGGCUGUGAGUGGAUUCUUGCAAGAUUAAGAACCAAUAUGUAUAACGCACAAUGGAGUAUUUCUCUGCCACGAAGAGAGAGAAACUUGAAGCAUCCACAGGUAAAUAGAUGCAAGUGGCAACCCUAAUAUUAAGUGAAGUAAGUUAGACACACAAGCUUAAAUAUUGCAUGGUUUCUUUUAGAUGAGAAACUCUUAUAUGAGAAAGAGAGAGAGGGAGAGAGAGAGAGAGAAAUAGAAGAUAAAUACAGAGAUCUUUUGCAAAUGGAUGGGAGAAGAAGAAACAGAGGGAAGAGGGAAACAGGGACUACAUACAGGAAUAGACAGCAA
rnacentral:lncRNA from 1 species